rnacentral:lncRNA from 1 species
UAUCCCCUUUAUAAAUCCGUAAAUUUCUUCUCACAGGCAGAUUUAAAUACAGGUAGUGACUGUUUUAUAGCCCGAACUGCCUUGUUUAGCAAGUCGUGAAAAUCCUAGAUGCGUCGCAAUAAAAUAAAAUUUAAAAUACGAUUCUCGAGCAAUAAGAAUUUCCUCGCGGCACGCAGCUUCCGAAGUGAGGGGGGAGCACCGUCAACUUUUGAACACUGUGCGGCGCUCGAAAGUCUGUUAUAAAGAUUGGGUGGGGGAACUAUCCCCUUCGAUAUUUGCAUAGCUAACCAGAUUGGUUAAAGUGGUGCCUGACGUAAGCUCUUGCGUUAAUAGCCAUAUCCACCUAUGGUUGAUCAAGCUGGCUGUGAUUGGUUUUCUUGACGGUCGUCAAUCAUUUCUAAUUUGCAUAACGGACCGCCGGUUGCGCCUUGGGCAGCAGUUGGCAGUUGGAGCUGAAGCAGCGAAGAGGGAGCGGAGAGAAAGAUGAUAGUUUACGGUCCCGGUAGAGGGAGUUUUAGGAUAACCAACAUUACUAAAUAGAACACUAUCAUAGAAAGGCAUUUUUGAAUCCGGUCCUAAAGAAUAGUUAUAAUAAUAAUUGGAAGGUGGCCUUUAAGAAUCAGUAUGCAGAUCUGGAUGGCAUGUGAAAGCGAAUCUCGCACACGCAAACUUGAAAUAUGCUACUAAAUCGAUUGACAGUUUUAAAGAUUUUUUUUAUCAAUGUUGGACUUCGAACAUCUUAAGGCAGUACCUGCAGGGCUACACGCUGUAUACGGCCUUAAAAAUAUAGUAGAAUAAAGGAAGGCAAGGAAAGCGUCAAUCCUCAUUAAAAACAAAUACUUCUCUUAUCUGUUAACAAAAAUGUAUUUUUAAAAUCAUUUUUGUAUGGACUGUUUGGUACAUCUUCUCAGAGUAAUGGAGAAGAGCUGGCUAGUAUCCUGUUCCAGAUCACCCAAAGGUGCUACGUUCGCACCACUGCGGACAAAGGACUUUCCUUUGACGCCUUUUGCUAGAGUUCCUCAGAAGAACCAUGCAUGGGUAGCAGUAAAACUCGCCAUUCUGAAAGCUCCUUACAACAUUUCACAAACAUGGAUCAAAGCCAAAGUAAUAAACAAACAGAGCAGCAGUGCUGUUCUAUUGGAGCAAACACAUCCGGAGUCUUACGGCAUCUUGAAUUCUUCUAAUAGAUUUAUUGUGGCAUACUUCUUCCAUGGACGAGAAUACACAUCACCAGAAGCAUAAAGUAUUAUUCUCAGUUGGCCAAUGCAUAUAUACAGAGUUUCUGCCAACCAAUGAUAACACUUGACUUGACGCAGUGACAUUUAUGAAGUAACCUCUUGUCCACAAUAGCUUAUGUCAUAAUAAAUUGAUUACACUUUAAGACCA